UAGGAACUUCAGUUUCCGCACCUGUAAAAGAAGCUGGCAUUAUUGGCUGACACAGAUUGUGUCGGGUAAUCUUUUCUAUUCUCUUCUACCUGUUCUUUCUCUUUUUAAAACAAUGCUUAUUGCAUCCCAUUAUAUUGAUUUCUGGAUCCACUCCCAGGUCACAACAGCACUGAAAAAAAAUUCUCCAGGGCUUCUGACAUCCGUGUAACAGGCUGCCUCUGUAGGUCCGAGUCCUGCAGAGAAGGUUCAAGGCGAUCUCACGAUCCUCCUCCAAAUCAUCCCUUCCUCCCUCCGGAGAGGAUGACUUGGAAGUUUCCUGUCCCCUCUGGUCCAGGCCUGAGUUGGGGUGUGGGGCAGUGCAUGUAUGAAGGAGUAGGGUGAGGGGCUGGGCCAUACCUGGCUAGAGAGCAAUGCAUGAUCUCAUGCUGUAAGCUGGAGGGGCGUGUGGCAAUUAAAAGGAGAAUUUUGAAGGCGGGGGGAGGGGCGAGACUUAAAGGAGUAAACUUUUUAAUGAUGGGAUUUUAAGUAUCAGGCUGGGGAGAUGUUCGGCUGAGUGUAGGUGAGUAGGAGGAAAGUGGUUCUCAAGUCAGUCAACUCAUAAGGUUCCUGUGCUGUGUGCAGUUUGGGGGACUUGUGUCUGGAAUGUCAAAUCUCAGACUUGCGUUGGAAUCUCAGUUCAGGGCAGGGCAUCUCUGAACAAAUUGUGAAGUCUCUCAGCUAUUUUGAGGUCUGCAUCACAGGGGUUUUAGGUCUUCCAGAUGUUUGUGGGUCUCUGUCCUAGGGUGUGAAAUCUCUAAGUUGUUUGAGGGUCCUUGUCUUUGCAAGUGUAGGGUUUUGGUUUUUGUUCUUUCUUAAAGUUGAAUCUGACUUUUGGUUUUUGGCAUUUCUUGGACUGCGAAAGGGGCUUAAUGUUGUUUUCUGAGCUUGUGGAACGAUGUAUUUAAGCUUUAUAAGUUACUUUUUAUGUCCUUAGAUCUUUUUCCCUUUAAAAAUUAUUUUGAAAUCAUUUGACUUAGAAAAAAUUGCCGAAAUAGUGCAGAGCUCUUGUAUAACUUUUGCCCAGCUUCCCCUAAUCCUGGGAACCUCCAUAUGCUCCAGGUGCAGCCCUAAAAUGACAAAAGACAAAAAAGCAAAAGAGAUUUCUUUAUUAUUUUUUUUUAUUUUUAUGGCCGCACCUGCAGCAAAUGGGGUAGAAAUGAAGCUGCAGCUUGCCAGCCUGUGUCACAGCCACAGAAAAGUGGGAUCCGAGCCACAUCUGCAACCUACACUUCUGCUUGUGGCAGCAACACUGGGUCCUUAACCCACUGAGCGAGGCUGGGGAUGAAACCCAAAUCCUCACGGAGACUAUGUCAGGUCCUUAACCCACUGAGCCACAAUGGGAACUCUGAGAACGGAGAGAUUUGGAUGUGAAGCACUUAGGCCUUUAUAGAUGUAGGAAGGGUCCACGGACCAAGAAUGCAGGCAGCUCCAGAAACUGGAAAAGUCAAGAAAAUGGAUUCUCCGUGGAGUCUCCAGAAGGAAGACAGCUCUGUUUACACCUGAUUUUGUAUUGUAAGACCCAUUUUCAGGAGUUCCCAUUGUGGCUCAGUGGAAACGAAUCUGAUUAGGAACCAUGAGGUUGCGGGUUCGAUUCCUGGCCUCACUCAGUGGGUUAAGGAUCUGGCUUUGCCAUGAGCUGUGGUGUAGGUCGCAGACGCAGCUCGGAUCCUGCGGAUCCUGGGUUGCUGUGGCUGUGGUGUAGGCCAGCAGCUGUAGCUCUGAUUCAACCCCUAGCCUGGGAACCUCCAUAUGCCAUGGGUGCGGCCCUAAAAAGACAAAAGACACACAUACACACACAAAAUAAGACCCAUUUUCAGGUUUCUGAGCCACACAAAUAUAAUAUAAUGUAGAAAUACGUGUUUUUCAUGACACUAAGAUUGUGGUGAUUUGUUAGAACAGCAAUAAGAAACGAAACACAAGAGUUCUCGCUGUGGCACAGCAGGUUAAGGAUCCAACGUUGUCUCUGCCGUGGCUCGAGUUCAAUCCCUGGCCUGACACAGUGGGUUAAGGAUCCAGCACUGCCACAGCUGUGGUGUAGGUCACAGCUGUGGCUCGGAUACAGUCCCUGGCCUGGGAACACUUAUGUGCUGUGGGUGUGGUAAAAAAGAAAGAAAUGAAAUACAGUGUCCUGGGGAGUUCCCCAUGUGGCUCAGUGGUAAUGGACCCAACUAGUAUCCAUGAGGAUACAGGUUCGAUCCCUGCCUCGCUUAGUGGGUUGAGGAUCUGGCAUUGCCAUGAAUGAACUGUGGUGUAGGCUGCAGACGCAGCUCACAUCUGGCAUUGUUGUGGCUGUGGUGUACGCCGGGAGCUGUAGCUCUGAUUCGACCCCUAGCAUGGGAACUUCAUAUGCCAUAGGCGUAGCCCUAAAAAGAAAAAAAAAAAAAAA
rnacentral:lncRNA from 1 species